CACCCAACCUUGAUGAGCUGGAAGGGGUAUCUGUUGAGUCUCCUCUUGGAUUUCAAAUCUCCCUGAUUUUUUGGUUUGAGAUCCAUACUAUAUUCAAAUGACCUGACUUCAUGCUCAAGGGGGAUUAAAGUUCUACUUUAAACCUUUAAGAGGAAAUCUCUGAAGAAAUCGUGGAUGGAAAUCCUGGCCAGUUACAUUCACUGAACCUUGAAACAAUUGUUACAAGAAACUCAACACGCCUGACUCAGGGUUACUGUUCAUUCUUCUGGAAGCUGCAGAGAAAGGGAACCUGGAAACCUGAUGCAAAUAAUCCACCAAGGUCAAUGUAUAUGAAGACUUCAAGAUGGCUUGCCAAACGUAUCCGGUACUCACCUCCCCCAUAAAGAAGAACCAAAAGAAAUCACACUUCCAAUAGAGCACAUAAGAGAGAAUGCUGAAAUUCAGUAGAGAAAUCACAGAGUUUUGCUCUUGCUGCUUAGACUGGAGUGCAAUGGCAUGAUCUCAGCUCACCGCAACCUCUGCCUCCUGGAUUCAAAUGAUUCUCCCGCCUCAGCCUCCCGAGUAGCUGGAAUUGCAGGCAUGUACCACCAUGCCUGGCUAAUUUUGUAUUUUUAGUAGAGACAGGGUUUCUCCAUGUUGGUCAAGCUGGUCUUCAACUCCCGACCUUAGGUGAUCCACCUGCCUCAGCCUCCCAAAGUGCUGGGAUUACAGGCGUGAGCCACUGCACCCGGCAAUACUAAUGGUUUAUCCAAGUAUCUGCUUAUCUGAAAUUCAAAUAUCACUGAGCUUAGCAUUUUCAACAAUGUAGAUGAUCAUAGAAGACAUUAUGCUAAUUGAAAGAAGCCAGUCACAGAAGGACAAAUACUGCAUGAUUCUACUUACCUGACUUAUCUUAAAUAGUCGAAAUCGUUGAAGCAGAGAAUAGACUGGUGGUUGCCAGGGGCUGAAGGGAAGGAGGAAAUGUGGAAUUGUUGCACAACUGGUAUAAAGUUUCAGUUAUACAAUGUGACUAAGUUUUCAAGCUCUGCUAUACAACAUUGUACUUAUAGUUAACAAUAUGGUAUUAUGUACCUUAAAAUAUAAAGAGAAUAGAUCUAUUGUUGAGUAUUCUUACCACAAACAAACCAAAAACUUACAGAAGAACACAAGAACAUUUUUGUAGGUGAUAAAUAGGUUGAGUAGCUUGAUUGUGGUGAUAUAGUGAGUAUAUGGUAUAUGCAUAUGUCCAAACUCUUCAAAAUGCAUAUAUUAAAUAUGUACAAUUUUCAUAUAUUAACUAUAUACUAAAAGCUUAUAUAUAUAAAUAUAGCUUAAGAAAAAUAUUGCAUUUCUAAGUUUUGUUAGAAAAAUUUCAAUUACUCAUAGAGGUACUAGUUUCACUCUUAAUUAUGUGCAGUGUAUUUUAUUAUCCAUAGGAUACUAUUGGAGGCUCACCAACUCUAAAUUGUUCAUGCAUAGUUCCUAUCACUACCAUUUUCAAAUACCAAGUAGAAAAGACCUACAUGAGUGAUGUAUUAAACAAAGAAAUAAACAAUCCACAAACAUUUCUUGAGUAUCUAUUAUAGAAACAGCAUCCAAGGAAAUAAUUGGAUAAAGAAUAGGAAAGGUUUUUGUUUGUCGGUUUGUUUUUAUCUUCCGGAUACAUAAUAAAUUACUUGUCAGUUUUCUGUCAAGAAAUCUAUUAAGCCAAAAGGUUGUAAGAAUGCACUGAGUUGGUUGUGAGGGUGGUAGCAAAUAAUCUUACAAGAAAAAUUUUAAGACAAAAUAGAAAGAAUGAAUGGCAAAUUUACAAAUUUAGAGAUUGCUUAAGAUUUGUUCCAAUAAUGAAUAAAUAAAAGUAAAUUAAAAUGAAAGUUUAAAAACAAAACAAAUUUAACUGGUUACACUGUUUUAUUUUUUUCUCCUAAUUCUGGCAACCCUAUGCCCAUUAAUAGGAAAAUUUGAUAUUUUUGUGCAUUGUAUCACUACAAACGAAUAAAAAGAAUAAACUAUUGAUAUAUUCAAUAACACAAAUAAAUCUCAAAAUAAUUAUUGAGUGAAAAAAGCCAGAGAAAAAUCAAUGGUAGUAUAAUUCUAUUUACAUAAAAUUCUAUGAAAUGAAAAGUAAUGGACAGUGACAGAAAGCAGAUUAGUGGUUGCCAAGGAAUGGGAGAAGGGGCAUAGUGCAGGUGCAGAUAGUUAUUACAAGGAGAAAAAAAAUUGGGGGGUUAUUGGUAUGUUCAUUAUCUCAAUUGUGGUGCUGAUUUUCACAGGUGUAUACCUAUGUUUAAACUCAUCAAAUUAUACAUUUUAAAUGAAUGCACAUUAUUUUAUGGCAAUAGUCUCUUAAAGUUAGUUUUAAGUAAAUAAAAAUUCAAAAAGAAGAAAAUAAAAAUAAAAUUUAAAAUUCAAUAACAUUCUUACUUGUUAAAGGUAGGUAAAGAAAGUUAAAAACUAAAUGUAUAUAAAUAAAGAGGUGUGGUUUUUAUAUAAAAAUACACAUAUUCUCAUAUAAAAUAAAUAAUUUAAAUGAACACAUUACUUGUUCAUGAAAGGGAAAAGGCAUUUUGUAGUUUAAUGUAAAUUUCAGCAGCCCGGCAUAGUGGCUCACGCCUGUAAUCCUAGCACUUUGGGAGGCCAAGGCAGGAGGAUACCUUGAGCGCAGGAGUUCGAGAUUGGCCUGAGUAACAUAGGGAGAUCCUAUCUCUGUUAAAAAGUAUAUAAAUAAAUAAAUAAAUUUUAGCAGAAUAAUUAUGAUUUUUUAAAAGUUUAAAUUAUUCUCAAAUCUGUUUAUAAUACCAAGUGUCUAGAAUUCUAAAAUAUUUGUUCAAAGAAGAAAAAUAUGAAGUAUACAGUUAGAGAAAACAAGAUGUUAAAUAUUUUGCAAGAAACUAAGUAAUAAUUUUAUGUUUUCAUUUAACACAAAUACAUUAGACAUAUAUUAUUUGACAGUUAUUCUUGGAGUCACUGCUACAAAAAUAAAAAAUAUGUCAAAGUUACUUUCUUGGGCUCAUAUUCUAUAGGUGGUAAUAGUAAAAAGUAAAUUCAAGAAAACAAUAUAAUUCCUGACAAUGUACAUUACUAUGGCAACAAAAAGGCCAGAAGUAACAGAAGAAAACGGAAGUGAAGUGUAUUAUUCUUCAUAGGAUGUCUGGGUAAGGUCUUUUCGAAGAGGCAAUGCGUGAUUUCAAAUUUGAAUGGAGGAAAGGAGAAAACCACUCACUCUCUGAAGAACAUAAUUUCAGUCCUGGGUAAAAAGUUUGGCAAACUUGAAGACAACCAUGAAGACUACUGAGUUUGAAGCCCAAUCAGUGAGAAAAAGAAAAAAAAAAAUCGUGAGAAAGGAGCUCAGAGAGGUAGUCAGAAACUAGAUUACAAGAUAUCCUACAGGCAAUGAUUGGACUUUGAAUUUUAUUUAUUCUAAGAGUAAUAGGGAAG
rnacentral:lncRNA from 10 species